rnacentral:misc_RNA from 1 species
GAAGAUUGAACGUAUAUUUAUGAUGUCAUAACCUUGGCAACCAUAAAGUGGCAACUACAUGAGGGCUACAAAACGAUAGUCGGUAUAAAAUAUUUUACGGACCAAAAUGCCAAACAUUAGGUGGUAAAUUGCAGAGCUUCUGAUAUGAAUUUCAACACGAGUCACAUCUACUGCUUGUCCUCCUUGGGGAUGUCCUUCUUUGGUAUCUCCUUUGGUUUUGCCUUUUCCAUUUCCUUAGCGGCAGAAGCUGACUCUUCCUCGAGCCAAUGGCGAAUUUGACGAACGUUACGCUUGAAGAUUGAGGCAGACUGUUUGACAUCGCUCCUCAUCAGUAAAAACACGGCGCUUACUCCGACCACCGUGAGUAUAAAGUUGGUUAAAGCCAUUUCAAGAUGAAUUUUGUUUCUUUGAUUGGUAUUCCAAUAUCAAAACCUCUAAAAUUAGCG